CGGGUUUGUGAUAGCAUGAGCAACACGUCAAAAUAUGGAUCAGGAUCUGCUUGCCCUUCCGGAGCACCUGCGAUCACCCAUUUUUUUUUUGUUCGGUUCGUGUUGCUUAGUUUUUGGUUUUAUAUGUUGUGUCUUGUGUGCUUUUGUUAGUCUGUUUGUCUUCUGGCCAUAUGCAUGUCUUUGUCACAUUUUUCUAUCUAUGAGUUUGGUUGUCUCUCUGGUAUCU
rnacentral:lncRNA from 1 species